AGUGAACGCUGGCGGUAGGCCUAACACAUGCAAGUCGAACGGCAGCACAGUAAGAGCUUGCUCUUACGGGUGGCGAGUGGCGGACGGGUGAGGAAUACAUCGGAAUCUAUUUUUUCGUGGGGGAUAACGUAGGGAAACGUACGCUAAUACCGCAUACGACCUACGGGUGAAAGCAGGGGAUCUUCGGACCUUGCGCGAUUGAAUGAGCCGAUGUCGGAUUAGCUAGUUGGCGGGGUAAAGGCCCACCAAGGCGACGCUCCGUAGCUGGUCUGAGAGGAUGAUCCGCCACCCUGGAAGUGAGACACAGUCCCGACUCCUACGGGAGGCAGCAGUGGGGAAUAUUGGACAAUGGGGGCAAGCCUGAUCCAGCCAUACCGCGUGGGGGAAGAAGGCGUUCGGGUGGUAAAGCCAUUUUGUUGGGAAAGAAAAGCAGCAGGUUAAUACCCCGCGGUUCUGACGGUACCCAAAGAAUAAGCACCGGCUAACUUCGUG
rnacentral:rRNA from 1 species